CAUAGUUAUUUAUUACCUACUUUAAGUGCUGUAACUAGUGAUAUCAAUCAAUGUCCCAAACCUCUAUUAGUAUAUGGAUACGAUCUGACUGAUAAUCUGAUCAUUUUAAUGAAUUUAUAUUUAUCAGGUUGAUUUUCUAUUUAUUUUGUUUAAGAGAGAGAGCGAGAGAGAGAGAGAGAGAGAGAGAGAGAGAGAGAGAGAAAGAAAGAAAGAAAGAAAGAAAGAAAGAAAGAAAGAAAGAGUGAGACUAUUAUAUUUAUUCAUAUGUUGAAAUAUCAAUGUGUGCAGUUGUUUUGUAUGUUUAUCAUGCUAAAGUGACGUUAAUGUUGUCUACCCACGUCUUUGCCAGUGCAUGAAUAGUUAAAAGUCUUACUGUGAAAGAUGAUAGGAUCUGUUUCCUUCAUCUAGUUACAGUAAUUUGAGAACAGGUCAGGCAAAGCAUGGGUGUGAGCUGUUUUGCACUGCUUUGGCAUGAAACCCAUCAGCCAUACACAGUAACAUGCAAAUAAAUUAAGAACAUUUUACAAAAUCUCUAGACCAUAUCAUCAGAAUGACUCAAUGAAGAACCCAACAUCCUGUUAUUUUAAGCCAAACUGUUUACACAUUUUAAAACUAGUUUCUCUUAAACCAUGUUCACAAACUAAUUGAUUUUGGCUAAUUGAUUUUUGUUUUAUUUGGAUUUGGGAAAUUAACAGAUGUUUUGUUUCAUUACUGACAAGUGACUAUUUCCAUGCAGAUAUGGCAUCUGAGUGCUGCCUUAGUGUCACCAAGUACUUCCUGUUUCUUUUCAACCUAAUUUUUUUUUUCUUGGGACUGUCCCUCUUGGGCUUGGGAAUCUGGAUAAUAUGUUCAGAUUUUCCAAUACCCAUCCCUUCCUACCUACCCCUGUCACACUUGUCCUAUCUGCUGGUAAUCAGUGGCUCUGUCACCUUCUUAUUGGGCUUCUUUGGGAGUCUUGGUGCUCUGAAGGAGGUCAAAUGCAUGCUGGCAAUUUACUUUAUCCUGCUCACCAUGCUUCUGGCUGCACAGACAAUUGGUACGGUUUUGCUUUUCACACAGAGAAGUGUGGUAAGUCAAGCAUGGAAAGGACACACACCCUGUUACAUCCUGUCACUUUUUUCUUUGUCUAGUUACUGGAGAGGUGGGGGUGGGGGUGAAAGGAUGAAUUUCUUUGCAGUAUGUAAAUGUUUGCAGUAUGUAAAUGUAUAGUGUCUUUAUUAUCCAUUAAUAUGUAAUGUUAAGUAAUACACAAGCCAGCUGUACACUUAUGAAAACCAAAGUUUAAUGAAAAAACAUUUUCAUUUAAUCUCAGUUUGAAACUUUUCUGGGAAAUCAUGUUACUGGCAUUAUGAAGCAGUCCAAUUCAAAUCUACUUACAUCUCUAGAGUUUUUUCAACACGAGGCAAAGUGCUGUGGCUGGAACGGGAAAUAUGACUGGACCAAUAUCCCAUGCUCCUGUUUCUAUAAAAAUGCUACAGCUAAUGCCACAGAUAAUGCCACAGAUAAUGCCACAAAUAAUACACAGAUAAUACCUUGCCCCUGUCAAAACUCAACAUGUGGGGUGUAUGAACAGAACUGCGGAAAAAUUAUUAUAGAUUGGGUCAACAAGAAUCUUUUGAUUGUUCUUGGUGUGAUACUUGCUCUUGCUCUUGUCGAGAUAUGUGGUAUCAUCCUUUCGAUGUGUCUGUAUAAACAGGAGUCCAUGAAUUUCUCCAUGCAUAAGUAAUAUUAUUAAACCAGAGCGGAACACAGGAAAAACAUCGGCUACAAGCUUUCUGUAUUAUACAAGCUUUCUGUUCAUUUUGUAACUCAUCAGUAUUGAUUUCUGUAAAUACCAGCAGUGGCAUAAUCCUUAUAAUUCUCAUAUGUGUAAUUUUUUAUGUUAAUAAAUAAUAAACGUAAAAAAGUAAAAGAACCCGUAUGUUGUUUUUUGUUUAGUUUUUUGUCUGAUGUUAUUUUUGAAAAUGUUCCCGUAUUUGACCCAACCCUUACAAUUCUUUAGGACUAAAGGUUUUAUAGAAGUAUCUGUUGCAUGUAUUUUUUAUCUUCCUGUCUUUCAGUAAGGAGGAAAAAAAAGAAGCAUCUUUGUGUAUUUGACCAUAAUGACUCUCUAUUGUAGCACAUACACAAUAGAUGACCUCAAUCCUGUAGGGAUGUGGCCAGUUCUGUUCUUUUAAAGACUUAUUCAUGAUUAUUUGGUUGACCUUUUAUCAUUUUGAUAUUAUAAAAUGUUUUAUACAUGGUUUAUUGUUCAAUUUCGGUUUAAGUUAAAGUUGAGUGAAAUCGGCAAGUGGGAAAUUUCUAUAUGGACAGUAUGAACUUAGAUAUACCAAAGCAUAAUACACAAACAAUAAUCAGAACAUUCUACAAGAGCAAGUUUCUUUUUCCCUGAAGUAGUCAUUUAUACGUCAUUUCAGUGUGUGUAAUUCAAUGUGUUAAUUUCAGUCAUGAGCACUGCAUGAACCUGAGGAAGGCCUGAGAGGAUAUGUGAUACUCGUGGGUAGGCCACCAACAUGGGAGCUGUUCUUAGCUCAGUUAUCAGAUGUUGUAUAUAUACAGGUCUGGUCAAAAUAACUCAUACACUUGCUUUUUUUGGUACAAACUAGACUGAAUAGGUUAGAUAUAUCUUACUCCAAAUAUCAUAUUCAGAGAUUUGGUUUUAAUAUCUCAAGCAUGCUUAUAUUUAUCAAAGAACUUUAAAAAUGUUAAUAAUGAAAUAAAUGAUUAUAAUUAUUUAGAUCUUUGGCCAGCAUUCAUCAUUUACUCAGUCAUUCUUACAACUGAAUAAUGGGUCCUCGAGUGUUUGUCCUGAUUGUGUUUGUUGCUGUUUUCUCUGGUGAGUUUAUAUAUUUUAUUUAUUUUCAUAACUAUCACUCUUUUCUUUUUUGGCUGUGAUAUACAAAUAAAUAUAAAAAGCUUCAAGCUAAUAAUAAUUGACAUGAACUAUGUUUAAUUUCCAUAUGAAAUGUAUAUUUAUUAAAUCAUUUGAAACUGAAACAGUUGUUUUUAAAAAGAAAUGUUAACACUGUCAUCAUAUCAGUUGCUCAGGGUCUGAGGUGUAACCACUGCCUAAACAUUAAGAAAAACCAGCCUUACUGUGAAGAAAUUGAGGAGAGAGAAUGCAGUAUCAAUCUCACACAUUGCAUGAGGCUCAUAAUGGAUGGAGCAGCAUAUGGUGAAGUGCGUCGAUGUGCUAGCACUAUGGAAUGUGAGCAGGAUGUGCCUUAUCUGGUGAGGAAAGAGUGCUGUGAUACAGACUUCUGCAACUGAACCUGUUAUGACUUAAUAUAAUCUAUUAAAAUAAAUUAGAACGUGAUUCCUGUAAUUUCUUUAGCAAUAUACACUGUGAUUUCUAAUAAGAAAAUUAUGAAAGAAAUAUUUGAGAGGGCUUUGGUAAAUCAAUGUCAAUGUACAUACAUGAAUAAAAAAUAAAAACAAUGUGCAUGUUCAAAAAAGAAUUUUGUCUUGCUCUUGUGUGCUAUGU